rnacentral:rRNA from 1 species
UACGUAGGGUGCAAGCGUUUGUCCGGAAUUAUUGGGCGUAAAGAGCUCGUAGGCGGUUUGUCGCGUCUGCUGUGAAAACCCGAGGCUCAACCUCGGGCCUGCAGUGGGUACGGGCAGACUAGAGUGCGGUAGGGGAGAUUGGAAUUCCCGGUGUAGUGGUGAAAUGCGUAGAUAUCGGGAGGAACACCAGUGGCGAAGGCGACUACCUGGCCUGUUCUUGACGCUGGAGGCGACGAAAGCUAGGGGGAGCAAACGGG